AUACGUAGGGUGCGAGCGUUGUCCGGAAUUACUGGGCGUAAAGAGCUCGUAGGUGGUUUGUCGCGUCGUCUGUGAAAUUCCGGGGCUUAACUCCGGGCGCGCAGGCGAUACGGGCAUAACUUGAGUACUGUAGGGGAGACUGGAAUUCCUGGUGUAGCGGUAAAAUGCGCAGAUAUCAGGAGGAACACCGGUGGCGAAGGCGGGUCUCUGGGCAGUAACUGACGCUGAGGAGCGAAAGCAUGGGUAGCGAACAGGAUUAGAUACCCUGGUAGUCCAUGCCGUAAACGGUGGGCGCUAGGUGUAGGGGUCUUCCACGACUUCUGUGCCGUAGCUAACGCAUUAAGCGCCCCGCCUGGGGGGUACGGCCGCAAGGCUAAAACUCAAAGGAAUUGACGGGG
rnacentral:rRNA from 1 species